rnacentral:rRNA from 1 species
GCCUACGGGAGGCAGCAGUGGGGAAUUUUCCGCAAUGGGCGAAAGCCUGACGGAGCAACGCCGCGUGAGCGAAGAAGGUCUUCGGAUUGUAAAGCUCUGUCUUUAAGGAAGAACAACUUAUAGUGGUAAUGCUAUAAGAAUGACGGUACUUAAGGAGGAAGCCCCGGCUAACUACGUGCCAGCAGCCGCGGUAA